GACGAACGCUGGCGGCGUGCUUAACACAUGCAAGUCGAACGGAAAGGCCCUGCUUUUGUGGGGUGCUCGAGUGGCGAACGGGUGAGUAACACGUGAGUAACCUGCCCUUGACUUUGGGAUAACUUCAGGAAACUGGGGCUAAUACCGGAUAGGAGCUCCUGCUGCAUGGUGGGGGUUGGAAAGUUUCGGCGGUUGGGGAUGGACUCGCGGCUUAUCAGCUUGUUGGUGGGGUAGUGGCUUACCAAGGCUUUGACGGGUAGCCGGCCUGAGAGGGUGACCGGCCACAUUAGGACUGAGAUACGGCCCAGACUCCUACGGGAGGCAGCGGUGGGGAGUAUUACACAAUGGGCGGAAGCCUGGUGCAGCAACGCCGCGUGCGGGAUGACGGCCUUCGGGUUGUAAACCGCUUUCGCCUGUGACGAAGCGUGAGUGACGGUAAUGGGUGAAGAAGCACCGGCUAACUACGUG
rnacentral:rRNA from 1 species